rnacentral:misc_RNA from 1 species
GAUGAAGAACGUAGCGAAAUGCGAUACGUAAUGUGAAUUGCAGAAUUCAGUGAAUCAUCGAAUCUUUGAACGCACAUUGCGCCCGCCAGCACUCUGGCGGGCAUGCCUGUUCGAGCGUCAUUUCAACCAUCAAGCCCCAGGCUUGCGUUGGUGCCCUGCGGCUGCCGCAGCCUCCUAAAAGCAGUGGCGGGCUCGCUAUCACACCGAGUGCAGUAGAUUACUCUUCGCUCAGGGCGUGCAGCGGGUUCCGGCCGUGAAACCCCCUACUUUUAAAGGUUGACCUCGGAUCAGGUAGGAAUACCCGCUGAACUUAAGCAUAUCAAUAAGCGGAGGA